GGCACCAUAGCGUAGUUGGUUAACGCGUCAGCGUACAUUGUUGAAGUCGCUGGUUCGAGUCCAGCUGGUACCC
rnacentral:tRNA from 1 species